rnacentral:rRNA from 1 species
AGGAUGAACGCUGGCGGCGUGCCUAAUACAUGCAAGUCGAGCGGUAAGGCCACUUCGGUGGUACACGAGCGGCGGACGGCUGAGUAACACGUAGGAACGUACCCCAAAGUGAGGCAUAAGCACCAGAAAUGGUGUCUAAUACCGCAUGUGGCCUAACAGGCUAAAGCUCCGGCGCUUUGGGAACGGCCUGCGCAUGAUUAGCUUGUUGGUGAGGUAAAAGCUCACCAAGGCAGUGAUCAUUAGCUGGUCUGAGAGGAUGACCAGCCAGACUGGGGACUGAGAACGGCCCAGACUCCUACGGGAGGCAGCAGUAGGGAAUUUUCCACAAUGGGCGAAAGCCUGAUGGAGCAACGCCGCGUGCAGGAUGAAUGCCUUCGGGUUGUAAACUGCUUUUAUAUGUGACGAUUAUGACGGUAGCAUAUGAAUAAGGAUCGGCUAACUCCGUGCCAGCAGCCGC